GCUCAGACAGCUAGGAGGUUGGCUUAGAAGCAGCCACCCUUUAAAGAAAGCGUAAUAGCUCACUAGUCGAGUCGGCCUGCGCGGAAGAUGUAACGGGGCUAAGCCAGUUACCGAAGCUGCGGAUGCAUCGCAAGAUGCGUGGUAGGAGAGCGUUCUGUAAGCCUGUGAAGGUGGGUUGUGAAGCCUGCUGGAGGUAUCAGAAGUGCGAAUGCUGACAUGAGUAACGAUAAUGCGAGUGAAAAACUCGCACGCCGAAAGACCAAGGGUUCCUGUCCAACGUUAAUCGGGGCAGGGUGAGUCGGCCCCUAAGGCGAGGCUGAAAAGCGUAGUCGAUGGGAAACGGGUUAAUAUUCCCGUACUUGGGUGUACUGCGAUGGGGGGACGGAGAAGGCUAGGCCAUCCGGGCGUUGGUUGUCCCGGUUCAAGCAGGUAGGCUGAGAUCUUAGGAAAAUCCGGGAUCUUAAGGCUGAGAUGCGAUGACGGUGAGACUACGGUCUCCGAAGUGGUUGAUGCCCAGCUUCCAGGAAAAGCCUCUAAGCUUCAGGUACCCCGAAACCGUACCCGAAACCGACACAGGUGGUCAGGUAGAGAAUA
rnacentral:rRNA from 17 species